UUGACAUCAGGGCCACCUGCAGUCGUGUGUGGGUGGAGACAGACCCCAAGCGCUCGUCAUGCCACCCGACCGGCCCGUGAGAACCAAAACCCGAGGAAAGUGAACUGGAAUCCUGCGUGGUGGCGCCGCCGCCACAUGACGACCAGACGAAGCGCCCCGCGCCCACGGGCGCGCGGGGACCCCGGCGGCUUCGCCGAGUCCCAGCCUGUCCAGCUUGCACGCCGGCUGAAACGCCACAGCCACCACUUCAAAGGUGUCUAGUAAAUGCGACGGAGGAGUUCAAAAGGAAAGCCCGAAUGGCCCGUUUUGAGUAAAUAAAAGCCCGUCCAACACCUGCACGCAGAGGCGAGUGGCCCUUUCUCCAUGUGGGUGUAACAAUAACAUUCAGUAGUACUUGGAAACGAGGUCAAGCUCUGAUCUGGGAGGUAAAUAAGCUGCAUGUUUACUAUCAUGGCUUCUUUCAUUGAUUGCGUUACUAAUCCUAAUAGAGCUGCGUGUGCUGCCUCUUAAGACAAAUGAAGAACGAAGGCGUCCCUGUAUUUACAGUGAUACAGAGAUUCCCUGUAACGUAUGGCGCGGCGGCCACAUGAAAGGACUCAACAACAGCGAGACUGGGAACAAAGGGUGGCGAGCAGAGACAAAACAGUGGAAAGAAGACGGGAGAGGCGGCGAGCCAGGGAGCUCAGGAAUGAGGGGAAUGCCCGGAACUCGGUCUCAGCAUCCAGGCUCGUGAUGCACGCUGUUUGGAGUUACUGGAACUUUCCUGGAGCCUGUUCUGGAGAAUGAGGAAGAUGCUUCUCGUCAGAAGGCCGCCUGCUUUGGCUGCUCACGUCGGAUCCGCGUUUCUUUGGCUGGGAGCUGCAGGAAGCCAGGAGAAGUUGCACCCAGUACCGGUGGAAUGGGCCUUUCUGUCCUCCGGCGCUUGCGUCAUCUUCUUCUCUGUCUGCUAAGCCCUGAGACAAAGGGCUUUCCUGUCAGUCAGAUAAUCGGCAAACAUCACACCCGCUUCCUCCUCCCACCAGGCCCGGCGGCUGCAGGGCAGAGGCCUGACGUGCUGACAGACCCACGGCCGGUCCUCGCUUUUCUUUGGGGGCUGUUGUGACGAGGCGCAAGCCGACUCUUGAGCCGAGUCAGUGAAGGCUGUGAUGAGCAGACGGGUCAGAGAUCAUCACAGUCCAUUAGAGGGGUCGAGCCGGCGGUGACCUGUGUGACUGCACAAACACCCCCGUGUGCACGUACGGACGCUAGUGAGACUGGCUCUGAGUCUGAAAGUGAGUCAGAACAAUAGCAAUGGCAACAUCAGCAUUGCACUGAUCAAUAACAUAACUUCAAGCUGCAUUAAGUAAAUGUAAUUAUGUGCAUGAGUGGGUCUAAACAGCUGCACUGUAAGAAGUACAGUACGUGUGUGGGCGUGUGUGUGUUAGCGAUGUGAGGCAAACAGAAACCAGGUCACUGCACUGGGGGGGAUUCCUCUGCAG